AUGGAUGAAGAUGCAUAUCAUGUCAUUCUUUCAGAUGAUGAAGAUGGACAGGAGGAGGAGGUGGAAGACGUCAAUGAAGCAGGCAAACAGAAGCUAACUUCUAAAGUUUGGUUGGAAAUGAAGAAGAUGAGGAUGAAUGGACAAUGGAAAGAAAAGUGUAACUAUUGUCACAAGGAACUUGCUUCAGGACCUAGAGCAGGCACAAAGCAUCUUGCUGCUCAUCUAAAGAUUUGUACUCUCAAGAUGUUGAAGAUGAAGGGAGGCAAAACAUUGAGUCAGCCAUCAUUGAAGAUGAAUGCUAAGGAGGACGGUAACAUUUUUUUGGACAGCUAUACGUUUGAUCAAGAGGUUGCUAGAAGAGAGCUUGGUAACAUGUUGGUGUUGCAUGAGUAUCCACUGUCUAUAGUGGACCAUGCUGGUUUUAGGAAGUUUGUUCAUGCACUUCAACCACUAUUCAAGCCACAUACAAGAACUACGAUCUUGCAAGAUAUUGAGGAAGAUUAUAACCAAGAAAGUAAGAAGGCAAUUGAUUAUAUGACUAUGAACCAAUCUAGGGUUGCUAUCACUACAGAUAUGUGA
rnacentral:rRNA from 1 species